rnacentral:pre_miRNA from 1 species
GGCCCAAAUUUGGAGUAGGGUAGAUUAAAAAUAUCAUCUUACCCUAGUAAACUACUCUACUUCGAGUUUGUGCCC